rnacentral:rRNA from 1 species
UGGGGAAUUUUGGGCAAUGGGGGCAACCCUGAUCCAGCAAUGCCGCGUGAGUGAAGAAGGCCUUCGGGUUGUAAAGCUCUUUUGUCAGGGAAGAAACGGUAGUAGCGAAUAACUACUACUAAUGACGGUACCUGAAGAAUAAGCACCGGCUAACUACGUGCCAGCAGCCGCGGUAAUACGUAGGGUGCAAGCGUUAAUCGGAAUUACUGGGCGUAAAGCGUGCGCAGGCGGUUGUGUAAGUCAGAUGUGAAAUCCCCGGGCUCAACCUGGGAAUUGCAUUUGAGACUGCACGGCUAGAGUGUGUCAGAGGAGGGUAGAAUUCCACGUGUAGCAGUGAAAUGCGUAGAUAUGUGGAGGAAUACCGAUGGCGAAGGCAGCCCCCUGGGAUAACACUGACGCUCAUGCACGAAAGCGUGGGGAGCAAACAGGAUUAGAUACCCAGGUAGUCCCUGAGCGGGCUGGCAAGGCGCAU